rnacentral:rRNA from 1 species
GAUGAACGCUGGCGGCGUGCCUAAUACAUGCAAGUCGAGCGAAUGGAUUGAGAGCUUGCUCUUAUGAAGUUAGCGGCGGACGGGUGAGUAACACGUGGGUAACCUGCCCAUAAGACUGGGAUAACUCCGGGAAACCGGGGCUAAUACCGGAUAACAUUUUGAACCGCAUGGUUCGAAAUAGAAAGUCGGCUUCGGCUGCCACUUAUGGAUGGACCCGCGUCGCAUUAGCUAGUUGGUGAGGUAACGGCUCACCAGGGCAACGAUGCGUAGCCGACCUGAGAGGGUGAUCGGCCACACUGGGACUGAGACACGGCCCAGACUCCUACGGGAGGCAGCAGUAGGGAAUCUUCCACAAUGGACGAAAGUCUGAUGGAGCAACGCCGCGUGAGCGAUGAAGGCCUUCGGGUCGUAAAGCUCUGUUGUUAGGGAAGAACAAGUACCGGAGUAACUGCCGGUACCUUGACGGUACCUAACCAGAAAGCCACGGCUAACUACGUGCCAGCCGCCGCCGUAA